rnacentral:pre_miRNA from 1 species
CAGCUGUGGGGCCUCAGAAGGCAGGACGCCCUGACAUGUCCACCAUGGCCUGGUCCCCUCUGCUCCUCACCCUGGUCACUCUCUGCACAGGUGA